UCCAGCCCCCUUUUAUCGUCGCCGCCUGCGGUUAAUUUCCGCACUUCGUGGAAGUGCAAUGCGUGACACGGAAAAAUAAUAAAGGUAGAGGAAAAUGUAUCUCGCGGCACAAGGGAACACCAAGAAUAGUAACGCGUGUUUUUGUAAAAACAGAUUAAUAUAAAAGAUAAUAAAAGUAAGAAACACAAAGAGAUGAUUUUUCGUCGAUUACAUUUACUGCUGAACAAAUAUGUUAAUGACACCAUUACUGUAUAUUAUAAUAAUGCUUACCCCCUGAAAAGCAGAGGAAAGAAAAAAAAAAUCACUGAUAAGGUAGAUGUCUCUUUAAUAUCACUCACGUCAAAAUUCUAAAUCACAAAA